AGUGUCAUCAGGUUGCAUUCUCAUCGUGAAGAACCUUUGUGUUAGCACCACCUUAGCAUUGGCAGCUUUGGCAGCGAAGAUUUGUGUAAGGGAUGUCCAGUUCUGGUGGGCUGUUUUGAGAGCGCUUUUCGAUUCUUGGAGUCCCAGUCGAGCCCUUGGGUUACAUCCGCAGCAGCCGGACGUUGAGUCGUUCCAUCCACUAUAGGCCAGCAGUCCUUGGCCAAAAGGAUAAGCUGUACUUUUGUUUUCCAAGUCGAGAAAUUCUGUCCCGUGAACUUUUGCAGAAGUUUCUCCCAGCCCCCAGAGUCCCAAGAAUUUCCUGCUGCGUUAGCAGAAGACAUUCUAUCUAUUAAUCUAAGAAUAGAUUAAACAGAGAAUUUAGAAAGGACGG